GAAUCUGCCUGGUAGUGGGGGAUAACGUCCGGAAACGGACGCUAAUACCGCAUACGUCCUACGGGAGAAAGCAGGGGACCUUCGGGCCUUGCGCUAUCAGAUGAGCCUAGGUCGGAUUAGCUAGUUGGUGGGGUAAUGGCUCACCAAGGCGACGAUCCGUAACUGGUCUGAGAGGAUGAUCAGUCACACUGGAACUGAGACACGGUCCAGACUCCUACGGGAGGCAGCAGUGGGGAAUAUUGGACAAUGGGCGAAAGCCUGAUCCAGCCAUGCCGCGUGUGUGAAGAAGGUCUUCGGAUUGUAAAGCACUUUAAGUUGGGAGGAAGGGCAGUAAAUUAAUACUUUGCUGUUUUGACGUUACCGACAGAAUAAGCACCGGCUAACUCUGUGCCAGCAGCCGCGGUAAUACAGAGGGUGCAAGCGUUAAUCGGAAUUACUGGGCGUAAAGCGCGCGUAGGUGGUUCGUUAAGUUGGAUGUGAAAUCCCCGGGCUCAACCUGGGAACUGCAUUCAAAACUGACGAGCUAGAGUAUGGUAGAGGGUGGUGGAAUUUCCUGUGUAGCGGUGAAAUGCGUAGAUAUAGGAAGGAACACCAGUGGCGAAAGCGACCACCUGGACUGAUACUGACACUGAGGUGCGAAAGCGUGGGGAGCAAACAGG
rnacentral:rRNA from 1 species